AGAAACUGCCUUUCUACCAUGCCAAGUCAUGCAUGGACCACAGGAUUGGGGGGCCACUUAUUUAACCAAGUUAUCACCAGGUAAUGAUAUCAAAGGGUGAUCAAGUGACUGUAUCAUCUUCUGGACACAUCACUGACCACGCCGCUCUUGAGAUCGGAAAGACUGAGCACCUCCUCCAACUACGGGUCCCAAAUCUGGAGAAGCAUCAGCAAACAAAUAGAACAAAUGUAGCAGGAUCAGAUAGUGUCAUCUGGCAGGGCAAAGCAAAAGAAGGCUCCCGAUGUUGGGAAUAAGCUUCAGCUGACAAGAUGUCAUGUUGAUAGACAGGAGAGGAUUAGACAUGACUAAACGUGGAUCCAAAGACCAACCAAAGGAAGGUUUGCUUCCUUGAUUCCACAAAUGGCAAAAACCAUCGAACUCACAGAAAUGCGUACUUUGUGUUACCUCAAUGACAUCACCCAUGCUCUCUGUGCUAAGCGCCCCUUCCAAGAACCUGGGGACACACCUGUCCAGUCACAGAUGGGGUGGGUUGUGGGGUGUGUGAAGCUGCGUGGUGUCAUGCUUCCCGGAGGGCUAGCUCAGUGGCUGGAGCUCUCCUAGAAACUUUGCUCAGUCUCUUGCUCCUUGGCUUGUCAUUUGCUGUGUUAAAAUGCACAGAUAGAAAAAUAAGAAAAGGAAGACCACCAUAAUGUCAGACGAGGGGCCCCUUCUUCAAAGAGUGGAAACUGUCUGAUCAGCUGUCACCUGUUGCCAGGAUGCAUCUCUCCUUCUAAAACGGAAGGAUGUGUGGUGGCUCAUUCUCAUCAAGGGAUGGGAAGACUUGCAUGGUGUUUCUCUUUGCUGGGGCUGUGUAACAAAGCACCACAGACUGUGUGCCUUAAACAACAUUAUCUUCUGACAGUUCUGGAAUCUGGAAAUCCAAGAUCAAGGUGUCGACGAAACACUUUGCCAGGAAGUCUUUGGCGGAGGCAGCCCUGUAACUCAGAAAUUCCAGACUCCUCAAGCCUCAGUGACACAGAUGUGAGCGGUUCCCGGUGCCGACCCGCGCUUCCUGACUGCACGUAGCAACGCGACGCACCUAAGAAGGGCCUGGGCUCCUUCCUGUGAUAGAAAAGGGAGGUUACCUCUGUGUGGGUAGGGACUUGGCUGGAACAACAGGAGACGGUCCCCUAUGUCCUGAAAAAUGCAGAGAUUUUUUAAUGGAGCAGAAAAGUUAUAGUUACAUCACUGGGGUUUGCCCAUCAUUAAAUACAUUUGGUUUAUUUUA